rnacentral:rRNA from 1 species
GACGAACGCUGGCGGCGUGCUUAACACAUGCAAGUCGAACGGAGUGGCGAACGGGGGAGUAACACGUGGGUGACCUCCCCUGCACUUCGGGAGAAGCCUUGGAAACUGGGUCUAAUACCGGCUAGUGUGGGAUGGGCCCGGGGCCUAUCAGCUUGUUGGGGGGGUAAGGGCCUACCACGGCGGCGCCGGGUAGCCGGCCUUGGAGGGUGGACGUCCCCAUUGGGACUAAGGUAGGGACCAGACUGCUACGGGGGGCAGCAGGGGUGAAUAUUGCACAAUCGGCGGGAGCCUGCUGAAGCGGCGCCGUGUGGGGGAUGUCGGCCUUCGGAUUGUAAACUCCUUUCACCAUCGACGCGGUAGAUGGAGAAGAAGCACCGGCUAACUACGUGCCAGCAGCCGCGGUAAUAC